UACGUAGGGUGCAAGCGUUGUCCGGAAUUUAUUGGGCGUAAAGAGCUCGUAGGCGGUCUGUCGCGUCUGCUGUGAAAUCCCGGGGCUCAACCCCGGGCUGCAGUGGAUACGGGCAGACUAGAGUUCGGUAGGGGAGACUGGAAUUCCUGGUGUAGCGGUGAAAAUGCGCAGAUAUCAGGAGGAACACCGGUGGCGAAGGCGGGGUCUCUGGGGCCGAUACUGACGCUGAGGAGCGAAAAGCGUGGGGGAGCGAAACAGG
rnacentral:rRNA from 1 species